rnacentral:rRNA from 1 species
UACGUAGGGGGCAAGCGUUGUCCGGAAUUAUUGGGCGUAAAGCGCGCGCAGGCGGCCUUGUAAGUCUGUUGUUUAAACUCGGGGCUCAACCCCGAGUCGCAAUGGAAACUGCAAAGCUUGAGUACAGAAGAGGAAAGUGGAAUUCCACGUGUAGCGGUGAAAUGCGUAGAGAUGUGGAGGAACACCAGUGGCGAAGGCGACUUUCUGGGCUGUAACUGACGCUUAGGCGCGAAAGCGUGGGGAGCAAACAGG